rnacentral:rRNA from 1 species
CCUACGUGUGGCAGCAGUGGGGAAUAUUGGACAAUGGGCGAAAGCCUGAUCCAGCCAUGCCGCGUGUGUGAAGAAGGCCUUCGGGUUGUAAAGCACUUUCAGUGGGGAAGAAAGCCUUGGGGCUAAUACCCUCGAGGAAGGACAUCACCCACAGAAGAAGCACCGGCUAACUCCGUGCCAGCAGCCGCGGUAAUACGGAGGGUGCGAGCGUUAAUCGGAAUUACUGGGCGUAAAGCGCGCGUAGGCGGUCUGAUAAGCCGGUUGUGAAAGCCCCGGGCUCAACCUGGGAACGGCAUCCGGAACUGUCAGGCUAGAGUGCAGGAGAGGAAGGUAGAAUUCCCGGUGUAGCAGUGAAAUGCGUAGAGAUCGGGAGGAAUACCAGUGGCGAAGGCGGCCUUCUGGACUGUCACUGACGCUGAGGUGCGAAAGCGUGGGUAGCAAACAGGAUUAGAUACCCCAGUAGUC